rnacentral:hammerhead_ribozyme from 1 species
GUACUGCUGAGGAGUUCAACAAUAGGAUGAAACGGCCUUCCAGUGU